GCAAGCGGCCGCCCAGUCCCACACUGCAGCAUGCUAUCAGCGAGGACAAUCUAUCUAGCAGCACAGGCGAAGGCCCCGCCAGGGCGGUAGGACCUCGAGGUGAUGGCUCUGGGCCCUGGGUGCGUGGCCAAAAGAAAUGCCUCAGCAAAAAAAGGGAGGAGUCACUGGAGGCCAAGAGGAGGAAGCGGAGGUCUCGGUCCUUCGAGGUCACGGGACAAGGGCUGUCCCGUUCCAAGACACACCUGCUGGGGCCGCGUCCCUCGGAGGGCGUUUCAGACCGCAGGAUGCCAGCGUGUGGACGGCCAUCCCCUGGUGUCAGGCAUUUGGGGAAAGUCUCUCUGCCUCUGGCCAAGGUCAAAUUUCCUCCAAACCAGAAUACAGGCUCUGGAAACCCUUCACCCCUUCUUGUCCCCUCCAACCAAGCUGGUGUUUCCCGUAGAGCUACGCGUGGGCCCAACCUGCCUCAUGGCUCAAGCACCUUUGGCAAAGAUGGCCGCCUCCAACAUAACUGAGGGGCCCUGGUACCUACUAUUCUGCCCCCAAGACUGAACGGGGUGUAGCAGGGAUUGGGAGUGGAAGCUGGGCAGUUGGGGAUCCCGUGGAGCAAGAGCUUGGAGGGCUGGGCUCCCAUGACCCAGAAACGGUUGGGCUGCCUGCACAGCUCUUCCAUGUUCACUCUGCCACUAGAAUGGGAGAUGAGUCCCAGAGACCCGGCUUCCCAGCCCGGGACAGAACAUUGUUGCCAAAAACUUAUACAGACCUGAGGCCAGUCUCGGCUUCGGCUUCGGCAAUGGGGGAGAGGAGCUGUUAGUAAGACAGGACUUGGCCCACCCCUGGGCUUGGCUGAAGAUGGGGGAUGGGAAGGAGCCCACAGGACUUCACAUAAGGAGGGGAGGGGAUGGGGAGGGAGUCUGGUUUUGUAACUUCUUUGUUGCUCUUUUUUUUUCUUUCUUUCUUUUUGCCUUUCUUUUAAAUAAAGUCCUACUGGGGUUUUG
rnacentral:lncRNA from 1 species